rnacentral:rRNA from 1 species
UUGAUUCCGGGGUCAGGACGGAACCGCUGGCGGCAUGCCUAAUACAUGCAAUUCGAACGCUGAAGCACUUUGCUUGCAGAGUGCGGAUGAGGGGCGAACGGGGGAGUAACACGUGGGAAAUCUGCCUAGGAGUGGGGGGAUAACAUUCGGAAACGGAUGCUAAUACCGCAUAUCUUUUUUGAACCGCAUGGUUCUUUAACGAAAGACGGCUUCGGCUGUCGCUCUUAGAUGAUCCCGCGGCGUAUUAGUUAGUUGGUGGGGUAAAGGCCUACCAAGACCAUGAUACGUAGCCGACCUGAGAGGGUGAUCGGCCACACUGGGACUGAGACACGGCCCAGACUCCUACGGGAGGCAGCAGUGGGGAAUAUUGCACAAUGGGCGAAAGCCUGAUGCAGCAACGCCGCGUGAGCGAUGAAGGCCUUCGGGUCGUAAAGCUCUGUCCUCAAGGAAGAUAAUGACGGUACUUGAGGAGGAAGCCCCGGCUAACUACGUGCCAGCAGCCGCGGUAAUACGUAGGGGGCUAGCGUUAUCCGGAUUUACUGGGCGUAAAGGGUGCGUAGGCGGUCUUUUAAGUCAGAAGUGAAAGGCUACGGCUUAACCGUAGUAAGCUUUUGAAACUGGAGGACUUGAGUGCAGGAGAGGAGAGUGGAAUUCCUAGUGUAGCGGUGAAAUGCGUAGAUAUAUGGAGGAACACCGGUGGCGAAAGCGGCUCUCUGGUCUGUAACUGACGCUGAGGCUCGAAAGCGUGGGGAGCAAACAGGAUUAGAUACCCUGGUAGUCCAUGCCGUAAACGAUGAGUGCUAGGUGUUAGGCCCUUUCCGGGGCUUAGUGCCGCAGCUAACGCA